UACGGGGGGGGCAAGCGUUGUUCGGAAUUACUGGGCGUAAAGGGCUCGUAGGUGGCCAACUAAGUCAGACGUGAAAUCCCUCGGCUUAACCAUGGAACUGCUUGGCAUACUGGCGAUCUUGAGCCACUUAGGGGCAACCGGAACAAAUGGUGGAGCGGUGAAAUGCGUAGAUAUCAUUUGGAACGCCAAUGGUGAAAACAGGUUGCUGGGAGUGUGCUGACGCUGAGACACGAAAGCCAGGGGAGCGAACGGG
rnacentral:rRNA from 1 species